UACGGAGGGGGCGAGCGUUGUUCGGGAUUAUUGGGCGUAAAGGGCUCGUAGGCGGCCAACUAAGUCAGACGUGAAAUCCCUCGGCUUAACCGGGGAACUGCGUCUGAUACUGGAUGGCUAGAGGUUGGGAGAGGGAUGCGGAAUUCCAGGUGUAGCGGUGAAAUGCGUAGAUAUCUGGAGGAACACCGGUGGCGAAGGCGGCAUCCUGGACCGGUAUUGACGCUGAGGCGCGAAAGCUAGGGGAGCAAACGGG
rnacentral:rRNA from 1 species